GGAAAUUGUAAUGCAAGACAGUUUUUUAAUCAUUUUAUUUCGAUUAAUUAUAACUACAGUAGCAAUUAUUUAAAUGAAUUUUCUUUUUAUUUUAUAAAAUUAUUUAUAUCUAGUAAACUUUUCAAUUAUCCUAUAUAUGUUGCAUGGAAUCUUAUUAAAAAAAAAUGAUAAUAAAUACCACUAAAAUAGUUAACCACUAACAUUCAUACUGUAAAUCUUUCAUUUGACAAAUGCCACUGAACAACAAACUUUAAAUCGGUAUUAGGUGUGAUGCAUAUCUAAAAAUGAAUAAUUAUUAAAUAAAAAAGUUGACCCGUCAUAAUGCUAGAUAACAGGAUUAAAAAUUUACACAAAAAAAACCCACCAUUGAGAUACGUGGAAAUCAUUGAUUGCCCUCCUCACUACUUGCUCUCAUCUUCUUCCUUCCACAUCUCAGCCCAAUUCCGCUGGGCCUCUUCAAGCCCAAGUAAUGAACCCUUCUUGUUAGGAUCCAAACUUGUAGAUAAAGCUCCGUAAGCAAUCCCAAGCGCUGAUGUCCCUAACGUCAGGAAAGUUGUCGUAAAGGGUAGCCAUAAAGGCACAUCCCAAAUGCCUUGCUCCUUGACCGUGCCAAAAAACUUUAAGACUGCCAAGCCAGGGGCCAUAGGCGCACCCACAGAGACCAAGAUUCUCUUUGUGAUCCUAUUAAACACUUCCUUUGGUAUUUCGUCAUCAUGGUCACUGUUGUUUUGUUCAUUAAUGUUGCGAGUUCCGUCUUCUGUCAAAGGUGGUUUGCUGCUGGCAAAGCCUUUGGCAUUUCCGUGUAGCUGCCAUUUUCUUGAAAGGUCGUUUGGGUUUCGCAAGCUUGUGGGGAGGAGAGUAGAGAUUUUUGGGUUCCAAGGAGAAGGCUUUGCUAGGUAGAGAGGUGAUUUGUGCGAACAGACAAAAGCAUUCAUGUUUCUUAAGCUCUAUUUUGUUUUUUGUCAGCCCCAUAUGUGCCUGUCCUUAUGGCUGGCUAUCUUAUCCGAACGCAAAUGAAUGGUGCUCUGGCUUGCGAUUAAUUUCGUGAGAUAUUUCUUGGUUCAAUUAUUAAGCUCUUGUAUUUAUUUUCCAGGUAGACAUUGUAUAUGAUAAUAAAUUGAUAUAGAACCCUUUUUUAAAAAAUAAAUAAAAAGUAAA
rnacentral:misc_RNA from 1 species